rnacentral:rRNA from 1 species
AACGUAGGAACCGAGCGUUAUCCGAAUUUACUGGGCGUAAAGCGUGUGUAGGCGGUUCGGUAAGUUGGAUGUGAAAUCUCCUGGCUCAACUAGGAGAGGUCGUUCAAUACUGUCGAACUUGAGGGUGGUAGAGGGAGGUGGAAUUCCCGGUGUAGUGGUGAAAUGCGUAGAUAUCGGGAGGAACACCAGUGGCGAAAGCGGCCUCCUGGACCAUUCCUGACGCUCAGACACGAAAGCUAGGGGAGCAAACGGG